UUUCUAGUUUUCCAAGGAACAAACUGAUGAUCUCAUGGUUAAAUUAAUGGUUGGUUUACUGCUGAUGUCCAUCUCUUCUCUGAAACUUUACUCACACUCACCUGGAGUGUUCAGACACGUCCACCCUCAGGGCUCAGAGAGAGCACUGCAGGCUGCCCACCAGCAGGAACAGGACGAGGAUCUCAACCUAGCUGCAGGGCGGCUGGUGGAGGAUGCAGGCCUGGAGGUGUAUGGGGAUGCUUUUCUCAAGCAGAGGCCUCUGGGAUCUCACCUGUAUACAGGGGUACUCUUAGAGGCGCAUCAGACAGCAGGUAGACCACCUACCUGUGUGUGGAUCAGGACACACAACAAGAAGAGUCUUCAGUUUCAGGACUGAGGAAACUUUACGCUGACUUCCAGCUCAGCUCUCAUCCUCUCUCUCUCCCUCUUUCCCCCCUCCUCUGUCUGUUUGAGGAUGAGCACAGCGGAGCGGUGGGCGAUGGCUCUGACCCCCCGGCUCUCUGCAGCACUCUGAAUCAAAGGAAGAGAAGUUUGGGACCAAA